rnacentral:rRNA from 1 species
AACGAGCGCAACCCUUGCCUUUAGUUGCCAGCAGUUCGGCUGGGCACUCUAAAGGGACUGCCGGUGUUAAACCGGAAGGAAGGUGGGGGAGUGACGUCCAAGUCCUCAUGGCCGUUUAUGACCAGGGCUACACACGUACUACAAUGGCCGAUACAAAAGGGCAGCGACACUGCGAGGUGAAGCCAAUCCCGUAAAAUCGGUCUCAGUCCGGAUUGGAGUCUGCAACUCGACUCCAUGAAGUUGGAAUCGCUAGUAAUCGUGGAUCAGCAUGCCACGGUGAAUACGUUCCCGGGCCUU